AUGAGAAAACUCCUAAACGACCGCGUUUUGUUGUGCUUUAAGGUUCAGAAAAGGGACGAUUCAGUUUCACAAAGAAAUUUCUUCCUUUCCUUCUCAACAAAAUAUGCCGCGAACGUCAUCUCUUUCGACGAUUCUCAGUCUUCCCAACCACGUGCUUCCGCCUGUUUCCGCUCCAUUUCGAUUCUCCCUCAAAGAUUCGCUUUGUUCAUGGUUCACCAUCAAGCUUCAUUUUCGAUCUUACGGCAAACGCGGUUCCGUCGAGCCUCAUCUUUAACCUCUGAUUCGCUUAAGUCCCCGCGUGAUUCAGAUCCAUAUCAAGAUACAUAA